rnacentral:lncRNA from 1 species
AAUUGCCGUGGUCACUACUGAAGCAGCUGACCUGCUGGGUGCAGUUAUGGGAGAAAAAAUGGGAGACCACUAAGCAGUUUCUGAUCAAAUAAAGAUUUUUUAAAAGCCAGAACUUCCCAUUAUUUUUGCUUAGCUCUUUGGUAACUUCUAAUUCCUCAUUUUUGUCUCUUCUUAAAAAUUAUCCUCAAAACCACUUCUGUAGAUGAGAAUGAAAUGUUCGCCCUCUUUACAGGUCAAGAAACAGAGGCACGGUAGAGUACCUACUAUGUGCCAGACACUGGGCCUCACUGGAAAAGAGCCCUGUAGGCAGAAGAAACAGUUUGCUCAAAGGCCCUUGGGUGGAAAGGAGAAGUAAGGAGUGGGGUGAGGAGGAUGGCAUAAGGUUAGGUUGGGAUGGAGCAGAAACCCAACACACACGGUCUUAAGGCCACAUGAAGGAUUUUGAACUCUCCCCUGAGUUUAAAAGGAACCCAGUACACAGUUUUGAGAAGUGGAGUGACAAUAAUCAGAUUUGCAUCUUCCCCUUUCUGUGCAUACACCCAGCCUCUCUCUAGGGAUUGGGGGCAGCCUAAGGUGGGAUAGAUGGUAAAAUGCCAGGCACCACCAGCCAUGGCCAUCAAUUUGACUUAUGGGGAGAAAGUGAGCAUGCUAAGAACACAGACUCUAGAUGCAACAUCUGGAUUCAAUCCCAGCUGUGUGAGCUAGGGCACACUUCUGCCUCUCUGGAUCUCAGUUUCUGUUUCUGUAAACUGAGUGGUUGUGGUUCUACUGCCUAGGGUCAUGUGGGGAUUAAAUAUGCCUAAGUUGCUCAGUCAAGUGCCUGGUACCAAGCAGAUGCUCUAAUGCAUAUUGGUCAUUAUCAAUGUUGAUCCCUUUCUGAUUUAUUCAUCAAUUCACCCUGAUAAAGAAGGGGCCUUUGGGGUCAAGAGGCUGUUCUUAUUCAUUAAACGUCAUCCAUAAUAGCAUGUUGUGUCGCCUCCCAGCUGGCUGAAACCGGACAUGGGAAAGAAGGCCAAACACAAGACUCAAAUUAAAAAGAAAACCUUGAAUCCCGAAUUCAAUGAGGUAAGGCUGCCCUAUUCUUUUUCAUGCUCUGGGAUAUUUGCUGUGUGUUAGAGAGGCACAAAUAGCCACAUAGCCAUUAAAUAUGUGGCCACAUAGCCAUUAAAUGCAGCCAUUUGAAAUGAUGAUGUAGAAAAAUAUUUGAAAAAUAUUUGAGAACAUGCUAAGUUGGUUUUUGCCCAAAGUUGUAAAUGAAAAAGGAAGUGACAAUACUGUAUGUUCAGCAUUACUUAGUUAACAAAAAAUUUAUACAUCACUGUGAACACAUGUGGGGGAAUGUUGACAUGGUUAUUCUUGGGUAGUUGGAUUACCGGGAAUUGGGGGUGGGGGUUCUUCUUUGUUUUAGCAAUGAACAUAAAAUGAAUUUUGUAAUUAGGCAGAGAAGCUAUUUUUUAAAAAUCAGAUUGUCUGGGAACAUAUGUACUCAGUCCACUUCAACUGUAUUUAUUUAUUUAUUUAUUUUUGAGACAGAGUCUCACUCUGUGGCCUAGGCUGGAGUGCAGUGGCGUGAUCUUGGCUCACUGCAACCUCCACCUCCCUGGUUCAAGCAAUUCUCCUGCCUCAGCUUCCCGAAUAGCUGCAAUUACAGGUGCCCACCACCAUGCCUGGCUAAUUUUUGUAUUUUUAGUAGAGAUGGGGUUUCACCAUGUUGGUCAGGCUGGUCUCGAACUCCUGAGCUCAAAUGAGCCACCAUCUCAGCCUCCCAAAGUGCUGGAAUUACAGGUGUGAGCCACCGGGCCCGGCCACUUCAACUACUUUUAUUCCUAAGCAAUAAAAAAGGGGAUGCCCCUUCAUAAACUACCAGAGGGGAAGGACUAUGUUCAUGGCCAUUUACCUACAAGGAAACUUGAGCUCUAUUAGAAAAACCUCACCAGCCUUCCCAAUUUCAAGCAGAGAAUUCACUGAAAAGAGGAUGACAGUGCUUUGUUACACAGAGUGUUUGUUGGAAGGGGAUCACGGGACCUGGGGCAGAGGAUCGGCACGGGAAGACCUCCUUGCUCCCAGAAUGCCAGCUCAAGGACCUCUCCUUGGCCCAUAACCCCUAGGACUCGGCCUCUUACCUCCCAAUGCUGUGGGUUCAGAGGGCUCUUACCCACAUGUCUUCCUCUGUUGUAUUCAGGAGUUUUUCUAUGACAUCAAACACAGUGACCUGGCAAAGAAGUCACUGGACAUUUCAGUCUGGGACUAUGACAUCGGCAAGUCCAAUGAUUACAUCGGUGAGUGUUCCUAACUCCAGAGAAAACGCCCUCUUCUGUCCUCCCCAGAACAGGAGAGCCUUAUCCAGGGCUACAGAGAGUUGAGGUCAUUGCUAUUCUUUUGGCAACCUCAUUGUUCAAAUGCUAAAUUGAGACCCAUGAUCUUGACCUUGGUCCAAUUUGGGGAUGUCUUUACAUGAAAAGCCUUACAAAACUUGAUUAUUUGUUGAACAAAUCACCUCCAGUGGGGUAAUUAAAUCACAGGAGAGAUUUGCGUUCUCUGCAGAAAGCAGGGUGCAAAAGAAUUCUUAAUUUAUUUGCAUGUCCAGGAUAAAAUUUUUAAUUUUUUAGUUCCUGUUUGAAUCAUGAGGAAGAAAAUCAAUUAAAGAUGAAGCAGGGGGGUGGGGACUCCAGGCAAGGGACAGAGCCUGAGCUAAGGGGUAAAGACAGGAUUGAGCAGGAUGAUGAACCUUUUUGGAAAUAGACAAUGAGUUCCCAGAAGUAGUGGGAGAUAAGUUUCAGUGAGUAGAAUGGUGAUUUGUAGAAAGCCUUUAAAAAUAGACAGUGAAAUUAUGACUCAGUGGAACAGUAGGGAGCCAUUGCAGGUUCUUGAGGCAGAGAAGGACCGUAAUAAUAAUAACAACAACAGCAGCAACGUUAUAACAACUCUCUAUAGAGUAUGGAUCCCAGGUUGCUGGGGGUCACUGCUUGGUGCAGUUUUUUCCCCAACUACACAUUUGGGUCUAGAACGACCUCUAUUCUGACCACCUGCUCCUAUCUUCCCAUUUAUCCUCCAGGAGGCUGCCAGCUGGGGAUCUCUGCCAAGGGAGAGCGCUUAAAACACUGGUACGAGUGUCUGAAAAAUAAAGACAAGAAGAUAGAGCGCUGGCACCAGCUACAGAAUGAGAACCACGUGUCAAGUGAUUAGGCUAGUGCCCAGGUCCCCAUCUCCAUGUCCCGGGUCCCCCCCAGCCUGCUCUAGCUGCCCACCGCACCCUGAUCUCUCUUCUCUAUGCCUACCUCCCCCCAUACCCUGCUGAUCUCCCUGAGCCUGCCUUUGAGCCCCCGUCACGUUGGGCACUGCUGCCAAAGACUCCCUCCUCCCUGAUGCUGGGAUGUGGGCUCUGAAUACAGCCCCUCUCUCAUCCCUGGGAUGGAGCAAUGGGGAUGGGGUUGGGGAGACGUUUACAAAGAGGUUGAUCAUUUAAUAACCUCUCAGUUUGGGUAAAUUACAAAGGUUCUUCAUCAUUUAGGACUGUUUUUAGACCCUCCUAGCCUUGAACACACACAUGUACACACACACACACACACACACACACACACCCUUUCAUUCCCUGUGUUGUGUCUCUGUAUAUCCCCAGU